rnacentral:rRNA from 1 species
AACGAACGCUGGCGGCAGGCUUAACACAUGCGAGUCGAGCGCCCCGCAAGGGGAGCGGCAGACGGGUGAGUAACGCGUGGGAAUCUACCCAUCUCUACGGAAUAACGCAUGGAAACGUGUGCUAAUACCGUAUACGUCCUUCGGGAGAAAGAUUUAUCGGAGAUGGAUGAGCCCGCGUUGGAUUAGCUAGUUGGUGGGGUAAAGGCCUACCAAGGCGACGAUCCAUAGCUGGUCUGAGAGGGUGAUCAGCCACACUGGGACUGAGACACGGCCCAGACUCCUACGGGAGGCAGCAGUGGGGAAUAUUGGACAAUGGGCGCAAGCCUGAUCCAGCCAUGCCGCGUGAGUGAUGAAGGCCCUAGGGUUGUAAAGCUCUUUCACCGGUGAAGAUAAUGACGGUAACCGGAGAAGAAGCCCCGGCUAACUUCGUGCCAGCCGCCACAGUAAGAC